GUACCAUGCUGAAUAUACCGGUUCUCGUUAGAUCACCGAAGUCAAGCAUCAUUGGGCGCGGUCAGUACUUGGGUGGGUGACCACCUGGGAACACCGCGUGCCGUU